rnacentral:rRNA from 1 species
CCUACGGGAGGCAGCAGUGGGGAAUAUUGGACAAUGGACGAAAGUCUGAUCCAGCAAUGCCGCGUGAGUGAUGAAGGCCUUAGGGUUGUAAAGCUCUUUUACCAGGGAUGAUAAUGACAGUACCUGGAGAAUAAGCUCCGGCUAACUCCGUGCCAGCAGCCGCGGUAAUACGGAGGGAGCUAGCGUUGUUCGGAAUUACUGGGCGUAAAGCGCACGUAGGCGGUUAUUCAAGUCAGAGGUGAAAGCCCGGGGCUCAACCCCGGAACUGCCUUUGAAACUAGAUAGCUAGAAUCCUGGAGAGGUGAGUGGAAUUCCGAGUGUAGAGGUGAAAUUCGUAGAUAUUCGGAAGAACACCAGUGGCGAAGGCGGCUCACUGGACAGGUAUUGACGCUGAGGUGCGAAAGCGCGGGGAGCAAACAGGAUUAGAUACCCUGGUAGUCCACGCCGUAAACGAUGAUAACUAGCUGUCCGGGCACAUGGUGCUUGGGUGGCGCNGCUACGCAUAAGUUAUCCGCCGUGGGAGGUACGGUCGCGAGAAGUUAAACGUAACGUAAAGAAAGUUAGUUACGGUCGUUGAGACGUUGCCGACGGACGACGACGAGGGAGGAGG